rnacentral:lncRNA from 1 species
UUAAAGUCGACGACCAGAAGUGAUGGUUCAGAACGGCCAUUCUUCUGACGACGACGAUGUUGGAGUACGGCUUGAGCGGCAACGACGAUGGUGGCUGCAUGCGAAAGAGUAAAAGAGGCUUUGGACUUUACCUUGAUGACUUUUUACCGUGCUGUAAUGAAGGAGAAACGCUGAAUGACGGUGGUGGAGAUUUCUUGAGGCGACAGCACAACAAAGGCGGUUAAGGUUUUGAAAAUGAAAGGGGAUAGUUCUUUCGUUCUGAAAAAUUAUAGAAGAAAUGUUGCAAAAGCUAUUGGUGAACCAGGCUCAAUCAUUAGGC